ACUGUAGAGGUGAGAGCAAAUUAAGAAAAUCCGUGGGAAUAGAGGAAGAACAGGUCAGGUGUGAAUGAAAUAUUGGCCUCCUGGCUGAAUGCGUCAGUUCCUGGGCUUGCUCCAAGUGGAAGCUGACUUCGGGUUUCCUGCCUUCAUAGACCAUUUGACAGUUGAAAGAGCCUCUGUCCGGAAGAGGCCUAACUUUAUACAGGGCCACAAAUCACAGCCCGGGAAGCACUGUACCCAAGGGUGCCCUGCUUGACUUUUAAUUUAGAGGAAUCCAGUUUCAAAGAGAUUGACUUCCCAUAACCCCCGGAUUUCCUGAUGGCUUGGGAGGCUCUGGGUCAGAAACUGGCCAGUAGCUAAUGCUUCCUCUGUUCAGCAAGAAGACAUCUCCCUAGCCGGAAAAACGGUUCAAGCCUUUAAGGUCACCCGAGACUGAGAAGAAAGCGGUGCCAAGGGGCCUGACUGAUCUGUGCUUUGGUAACAGGCAGGGGAAAGUGGAGAUUGGUAUGAUCAGAAUCGACGGGGUUUUUAGACAAUUCUUUUAAGGAAAGAAAAGGGUGGGGUUUUGGGGUGUGUGGUGGGGAUCUAUUCUAAAGGGUUCACCUGGAAGAAUGCUCUUUCAGAGCUGCACAGUGUCCACCUUGCCCAUCUCUCUGAUGGACAUAUUUUACUUUUAAAUUUCUACUUCAGCAAGUGCUUUGUGUUAUUUAGGCUCAGUUAAAUAAAACCCAUUCAUGUUCUGAGCUGGAAGAGCAGAGGCCCCUGAACACCACCCUCUCUCCAGUCUCUCUGUUAUGCAUUUGCAAGCCCAGCUCUCCCUCUGGAAAAGGCUGAUGGCUCUGACCUCAGGGUUCUAUGUUUUCCCUCCAAACUCCCUGAAGUGAGAAGGAAGGGACCGAAAGGCAGGUGCCUAAGGCUAAACUUUGACCCUCCACAAAGAGAAAGGGUUAAAUAACUGUAGAGACAGGCCAUUGUAGACUAUAAAGAUUAAAACAAAACAAAAUGCCCCCAGUUUUGUGGUCAGCAGAAAGAGAGUGCAAGUCUGUCCUCCUGCCCGUUUGAAGUUGGAGGGCAGACACACAGUUCUAUGGAGUUUAGCCCCGCCUGAUUAUUUGCUUGGCCCCAGACGAUAAUUAGCUAAUAAUCUUGGGUUACAAUGAGCCUUUCUUGGGAACCCUGUAAAUAGUUCUUCUAACCUCGAAAAGUAAAACAAAGCCCACCAGGACACUUAGGGUAUUAAUCCCCAUCAAGAAAUCUUGAGAUCAUCUAUGGUUCCAUCUGCCCCAGGGCUGCAAGAAAGUUUGUUUCCUCUAUCACCAGCUGAUUUAACAGCACCUUUAGGCCUUUCUCUUUGUUUAUAUUCUAGGGACAUCAUUCCAUCGCAGGACAAAUCAUGCUUAGUCCUUUUCUUUUUCUUUUUAAUAUUUGAAGAGAGAUGGGUGAAAAUGAGGACCGAGAAGGAUAAAGCUAGCCAGAAUGAUUUUAAUCUUUUCUUUUUCUUUUUCUUUUUUCUUUUUUUCAGAGCUGGGGACCGAACCCAGGGCCUUGCGCUCGCUAGGCAAGCACUCUACCACUGAGCUAAAUCCCCAACCCCGCCAGAAUUAUUUUAGUCAACAGGUUGAAGGCAUCUUUAAAAUCAAAGCUUUUAUCGUUACUGUGGAGAGAAAAGAGUUGACUGGCUGAUGGCCAGACCUGUGCCUCAGGAAUAUAUGGCAUCUAGGCCUUCUGGCCAGAGCAGAACUCCUGAGACGUCUCUACCUGCUGCAGAGUAGACGGGACCUGGGCGCGUUCCCAAAGUGCCACUUCCAGGGCAGAGAUUCUAAUCUGAGGAAAUAAAUGCUGCUGGGCUCAACAAUAUGAAUGGCAAGUCUACUUGGGAAGACCAACAUACAGCCUGCUUGAGUUUCAGCCCUCCCCAUCCCUGAAGUACUCUCUUCCUAACCCUUCUGGUAUUUGAUAUCCCUUCAAGUCACAUAGUUAUAGACGGUUCUGAGCUUUGAUGAUUGAGAAACUCAGUUGAAGGGGGGGAGGGAUAUGUAUGUAUGAAGGGUGGCUGGAAAGAUGACUUAGCAAUUAAAAGCAAGUGCUGUUCAUCCAGAGGACCCCAGUUUCAUUCCUAGCACCCAUAUUGACUGGCUCACAACCACCUGUCACUCCAGCUCCAGAGGACACCUGCACACAUAUGAUAUAUAUAUAUAUAUAUAUAUAUAUAUAUAUAUAUAUAUAUAUAUAUAUAUAUAUAUAUAUAUUGUCUUAGCAGAAACUUUCCCCCGGGCCGGAAUCACGUGUUCUUGCUCUGAGCACUUGGAUUCAGCACUUGGUGCCGCCAUGUGCGGUCCUGGUAGUGAAGCACAGCCGUGGGUAAGGUGUUUAACUUCUCCACACCCGUGUUCUGUGGUUAGUAGGGUGGGGGGGAAGAGUGCUUUCCUUAUGACUCACCACGCUGAGAUCCAGGCUACAGAUAAGGAUGCUAACUCUGCAUGUUGCUCUGUACAGCUGUCAAAGGGAUUUUUUUUCCAUGUGAAACCAGCGACUGUCCCAGGUUCGCCAUGUGGGUGCUGGGAAUUGAACCUGGGUCCUCUGGAAGCCAGUGUGCCUAACUGCUGAGCCAUCUCUCUAGCCCCGGUUGGGGGCUUUUCUUGGGGGGAGGAUGUGGUUGUUUCACACGCUUUAGUGCCAAGUGAAUCUCCUGGCGUGUGUAUAAUUCUAGAUUGCAAAAGUCCAGCUGGGACUGAUGCUAUUGAGGAAGUAGCAAGAUUUUGGCAGGUUUCUCUGAUGAUGUUUAAGAGCCCGUGUGUUUAAGGUUUAGUGGAUAAGUGUGUACAAUUCUUUGUAUCAAUUAAAAAAAACAUUGCCAAAUAAACAAGGACAACAAAAGUUUACCAUAGCAACUAAAUGAAAUACCUGGUCCAAAAGUGAAUUGUUCACUGGGAGAACAUGUGAAAAAACAAAACAAAAACAAAAACAAAAAAUCUGAAACAUGGGCUGUGGUGGUGUUGUAAAAAUAUAAAAAAAAAAACAGUCUUUUUAUCCCCCACUUGAUCCGGCACCGCAGUGCCCCAAGUUAUCUUCUAGAUAUCUUGCCAGAAGCACACAUCCCAACUCUGUGGUGGCCCAGUGUCUCUAGCCGAGCCACACUCUCUUACUUAAAUCUACACAUGAAAGAACACACAACACAAUAACCUUUGAUCCAAUUGAUUAGCUGUAAUUGCCCACUUAAACAUACAAAGCCCUGGGCAAUCCAUCCCUGAAGAACAUUCAUAAUAACCUGUAAUGGUACAGUGUGGAAUCUUAACGUCAGCCUCCAGGUUCUCUCCCUGCAGCUACUCUGCAGUCCUUCCUCUCUCUCAUUCCAGUGUCCUCCUCUUCCUCCAAACUUUUCUCCCAACCAUCCUUCCUUCUAUCCAAUGACAGGCCUCAUUCUAUCUUGUGCCUGCCUCACUUGUGACAUCAUCCCACACAGUAGAUUAGACAAAAUAACUGCACCGCCAUUAAUUUUCACCCAAACUGAUGACGGCAUCAUAUAAAUGGGGGAUUAUAAAUAAUUAAGCAGCAUAGUGUGCAUUCACUAUUUUCUAGUUGUUGGGACAAAAUCCCUGACCAAACGACUUAAGGAUAGGAAGGCUUUGGCUCACAGUUGUAGGGAUGGUUGGUCAUGGGGCGGGUUGAGGCAGAUCUGGUCAUGUUGUAUCUAAUCAGAAAGCAUUGAGGGAGGAGGCUGGUCCUCCGUUUAUCCAUUCUAGAGCCUCAAUGCAUGGGAUGCUGCUGCCUUCCUUCACGGUGAGCCUUCCUGCCAAAAUCAACCUCACAGGGAAACCCUCACAGACACACCCCGAGUCUUGUCCACUUGGUGGAUUUUCAAUCCUGUCAGACUGACUAUGGUUAACUAGUAUGGAGGGAAACAUGAGUGGCAGGUGAAAUUGUCGAAGAGACAUAUUGCAUUCUGUGCAUUAUAGCCACUGGUUGGUGUGCCUUCUCUAUGCAUUUCACACUUGCAAUGAGAAAACUUGGAGAUUAACACAUACACACAUACAUACAUAAAAUUUCAUAUUUACCCACAUAUAUGACUUCUUCUAAAUGCCGAAUGCCAUGACUGCCAUGGGAGCCCAACUAGGAGACUGUCCCUGUUGUUGACCCCACGUUCAUUUCUGUCCUUGCAAUCCCAUGGCCCUCCUCUCUUGAUUCUCUUGCUCUCUUUCUGGCUGUUCCUGCGAGUCUCCCUCGUGCAUUCCUUUGAUUUAUGGUUUACUGUCAAAGCACUGAGUUCAUUCCCUUGCCUUCUGAUUAUUUUCAUUUCUUGGGUGUUUCUGGGGUGAACAGCUCCUCACCUUGCUCAGACAGACUUCAUGGGUCCUUUUCUACUUCCUUGUACCUCACUGCAAGUUUAGUUUUGUUCCGCCGAUCACUGUGCUACUAUUCUUAUUACUGCAGUCAUUAUUAUCAUCAUCACCAUUAUUAGCCUGUAACGUCCCGUUUGAGAGCAGAGAAUGCUAUUUUUCAUUUUUGUCUCCUCUGUGCCUAGCACAGUGCUUAAGUUCGGUAAAUGUCUGAAGAUGACAGAGUGAACCCAGAUGCUGGGCAGACACCACACCCAGCUAUCCAAGAAGACCAGAUGGCAAAUGUUAGCAUUAGAACUCCUCGUAGAAACACGAAGCCCACUGAAAUUCUGUUGUGUGAGCAUAUGUUUAUGUGAAUUACCUCUCUGGAUGGUCUCACGAUACCAAUAGCAUCUGGGGAAGACACCUGAGCCAAGUUUCCUCUGUAAAUUAUUUCUGGUCUUUCCCUCACCCUCAGGCCUAAACAAUAGGCUGUCAAGUUAUUAAAAAGAGGAAGCGUGUUUCUUAUGGGGAAAAUUAUCAUGCCAAUAUACUGAAAUAAAACAAAACAAACACUUCCAGAGAAGGAAGGUUGUGGCCUCUAAGGAGCCGUGGCCUCCAAGGUCUGAGUCACCACUCUCCCUCAAAGAGAAUUUGGAAGACCGAUGAGUGGUGGUGAACAGGAGAGAUGUCCUUAGCCUACAUGGGCUUGGACUCAAUGCAGUUCAACAAACAUGGUUCUGUCUGCACUUUGGCUUAGCUUUACUCAGGUUAGGAUGGAAGGACGUAGGAAAGAGAUAAUUUCUGACCAUAAAAGUUCACAGUCCAGUCAAAACAUCAGAUUGAGAGAAACGAAGGAAGAACUAACCAGGAAAGCUGGUGGGACCAGGCAGGCUUUUUCUCAGCUCGUUGUGGCCGCACCCAUUCCUGUUUGGAGACUACUCUAUGAUAACUGAUUUCCCUUGAGAGCACAGGAUGGCAACUGUAAUUUUCAGGUUUAUAUCUCUCCUGACUAAGACAGAGGGUCAAACCAAGCUAGGGUCUAAGUCUAGUUUUACAUGUAAAUUAUGUAAGUAUUAACCACGUUUACUGAAUACAUUGUAAAAUAGAUAUAGUUUCUGGCCUACAUAUUUGUUAUUUCUCUGUACUGGAAGCAUUUGAAAUCCUUUAUCUAGAUAUUUGAAGUGACCAAAUCAUUGUUUGCUAUUAUGGUGUUUCUAUGUGACAGAACACUAUAACCAACUCCUGUCUGGCUGUGUGUUUUGGUGCCUAUGAUCUAUCUUCCUUCUUUCCCUGUCCCCCCUUCUCAGACUCUGCUGAUCCUCAUUCUUAUCUUUACUUCUACAUGACCAACACCAACAUUCUCAGUGUCUAUGCAUGAGUGAGAACAUGAGGCAUUCGAGUCAUGAGGACUUGACUGAUAGAGGGACAGUGGGGAGGGGUCAAGGUGGUCUUCGUGAGAGCACCAGGCUAGCCUAAGGCAGAAUUCAGAUUUGUUUUUUGUUCUCUCUACCUGUUUGUAAGCAUGACUCUCAGCUGGGUCUGAAACAUGGAAGGAGAUGAUGUAGCUGUUCUCAUUUUACCCCUUCUGGAAUCUGAUGACAACCAGUGGCUGAAGUUACUGACCCCUGGCCCAGACUUGGCUGCUGUCCUUAGACACUGACGUCAGACAGCUGGCAGCUGAACCCUGGAGGACUCACGGCUGAACCCUGGAGGACUCUCAGCUGAACCCUGGAGGACUCACAGCUGAACCCUGGAGGACUCUCAGCUGAAUCAUGGAGGACUCACGGCUGAACCCUGGAGGACUCACAGCUGAACCCUGGAGGACUCUCAGCUGAACCCUGGAGGACUCUCAGCUGAACCCUGGAGGACUCUCAGCUGAACCCUGGAGGACUCUCAGCUGAACCCUGGAGGACUCUCAGCUGAACCCUGGAGGACUCUCAGCUGAACCCUGGAAGACUCACAGCUGAACCCUGGAGGACUCACAGCUGAACCCUGGAGGACUCUCAGCUGAAUCAUGGAGGACUCACGGCUGAACCAUGAGGGGCUUAUGCUUUCUUUGCUAACACUGAAGGAGGAAGGAAGGCAAUCCUUGAGCUACAGAGGAGGCCAGGUAGACACACAGAAGAUGCAGAAAAGGCCUAGCCAGACCCCUGUCCUUGGGAGCCAGAAGUGUGCCAUUGUGAUCAGCAUACAACCCCAACUCCAGAAAACAGUGCAAGAACAGAGAAAGGAGCCAAGAAAAGUUACUUGAGGCAGACAAGAAGGUGAAGGAAGAUACGGUGCAUCAAGUCUACUGAUGAAGAGAGACUCUAACUGGACCAGACCAUGCUGUGGUAGCGGACAUCGGGAGGUGAAGGGUCUGAGCUCUUUCCUCACACGGAGGGGAGAUGUGAGAUGUAACACGUGGGAGAGCGUCAGAAAGCACAUCGGAGGCUGAGGAGGGGCAAGUGAAGCAGACACGGAGACCAGGAGCCAUGAUGGGGAGAGGAGCCAAGAGAGACUAUGACAGCUAAGUAAUGGAGCAGGGAAUCAGGAGGGCUUGGUGCUUUAUGGAAUGCUCUAGAAUAGACCACAAGGCUGAUGACACUUUCUAAAAUAGGACAACUCUUACUACAGAGAGUAAGUUAAUUCUAGCUCUGAAAAUCCACACUGUAGAAAAGGGUCUAUUUCGCUUCAUUUUAAACUGUCUUCAAAUCUGGGCAUGGUGGUAAAUAUACCUGUAACCCUUGCACUUGGGGAACCGAGGCAGGAGGAUCAUGAGUUGGAGGUCAUUCACAGCUGCUUCACGAGACCUUGUCAGAGGAAUAAAAAGUGGCUUUAGAAGUAUUUUCGCUUGAUGCUGUAUUGGGAUAACCUGAUAUACAAGUUGAAACAUAUAUGACUGUUUAGAUGCCUUGAAUUUCACCUGGAGGUUCUCACAGCCGUGAGGAGUUCCUUACAUAUCACAACUCAGAGGUGAAUAUGAAGAGACAACACAGGUGUGGCCACCAUCCAUGGAGGGGCUUUCAUGAGUCUGUCUGGUCUCAUCCGUCUUGGGUUAGCGACUAAACAACGAUGUCGAUUUCUUCCAAACACUUAGCGUUUGCUAGAGUGAUGGACAGUGCCAUGGAUGGAUACAUUCAAACAGUGAAUACGUGGAGCCUGAAAAAUCUCCAUGAGAAACAGGAGGGACUUGAUUCAGGUCCCAGAAAUCUCUAUGAGCACCAGUGCUGUCACCCAGAGCCUUGGCAAUCUUACCAGUGGGUUAAAUGCCCCCUUGCUGGUGUUGUUUCACCAAUAUGAAUACACACCAUUCUCUUAGGCACUGAACCCCCUAAGUUUUGCAAGGAACUAUUUUACAGAAGCUCACCGGUUAUCUUAGGUUACAUGGACUACUUUCUACCUAAUGCUGCUCCUCUGGGGAUCUGUGCCCAGGUUCCACUCUCCUAGCCACACAGAUAGAAUGACCCAAUUGUGCCUUUAGCUUCCUCUAAAUGCAGCCUAUCGAUUUUCUUUCUCCCACAGUAAGCAGGGUUAUUUUGGUUGUUCCAAAGCAAUUAGGUAAACGAGCAUUCGGCUGGACUGUCCUUCUACCUUGAAGGAUUCUCUCUCUUCUCUGUUAGGGCCUUAAGAGCUUUAGUCCCUUCUAGAGCCAAGAGUAGCUUUUCUGCACCAAUAAGCAAAAGCAUUACAAUAUUAAUAACCCUCGGCCACGGGUUUAGCUUCCUCACCUUCUUACCAUGCUUGAAUGGUUCUCUCUGAGUGUGAAGUAAUCAAUAGUGGCCAGAAAUUCAUUCGGGCUCUCACACACUCCAUGGAGUUUCCAAAAUAAGCUAGUGGCAAGCAUUUAAUUAGCUCAUUUUGUUUCUGCCAAGGCAGAGGCGCAGACUUGAAGAGUCCAGGAACUGGGAUAAAAUAUAGUUGUUUCAGAAGUUUCUAUACCUGGUAGUAAAUAGAGAUGGGAUUCAGCAGACACGUGAUUCUGUCUCUUCUAUUCUCUCUGUGGAUCUGGGUGUGUCUUUUUAGAGUCUUGACUCCCAUUUUUCUUUGGUUAGGAUGAGCAAGGUGUCCUUAGAUUAAGCAAGGUUUCCUCUGUCACUAGAGUCUAGCACUAUGUGCCAGUCGCCAUGCCGAGGAUUGAUGAUAAAAGAUGCACCAGACAUGCCAAGUAGGAAAAGAAGGAGGCAGGCUUAGACAAGCGUUGGCUCUGGACUGCAAAGGGUUCUAGGCUAGGACUGUGUGGAGAGACUCGUGAGUACCUCAGGGCUGGGACUGAGCCAGCCUCUGGAGCACAGCUAGCUAUCCCUGCAACUCAGGAGACUGAGGAUCUCAUGUUUUUGUUUGUUCGUUUGUUUUUGUAGCAGGGAAGGAUUUACCUUCUCUCUGGGUCUAGGCAACAACAUUUAUUUUGCCCCUCACAAGGCAUCCCAAGAAAGGAAGUUUCUCUUCGGAUGUUUGUGUUGGGAGCUAUGGGCGUUUUGCUGAUAGCUAUCAGUGGUUUUGAAGUCUCUGUGUUUCCAUCAAGAUGAGCAGGCAAUGAAUCUCACGCACAUACAGGAAAAGGUCCAAGUGAACUCCAGGUGAAGAGGAAACAGAGAUUAGCUGGACUGGAAAGGGCUCCCGCUGCACAGGCAGGAAACCCAAGAGGGUAUAUGCACAGGCCGAAGGUUAGAAUUCCUCCAGCCUGCCUUUGGUUCAGCUCCAAUCCAUGAGUCAACAGUCCUAACAUACUCGUAUGUAUGCAUGGGAAUCUAACGCAUGCGUCCAUUGGAGAAAAUAAAAGCACCACGUAGGUGACAGAUCUGACCUCAAUGGCUGCAGCCUCUUGUUAUUUUGUCUUUGACUGGAUUCAGAAGAGUAGAGGCCAUUCAUACAAAUGCCUACUGCCAGGGGUGCAUAAACAUGACCCACGGAAAGAUUCCUGUCUGGGUAGCAAGAUGGCGCAGGACAUAAUGGCAUUUGCUGCCCAAGCCUAUGCUUGAUCCCUGGAAGCCUCAUGGAAGUGGAAGGAGAGAACUUCCUUCUCAAAGUUGUCCUCUGAUUGCCACUUGUGUGCAAUCAUGUGCACGCCGUGGCACAUGUACCCAACAUACACUGGUAACAAACAAAAGGGCCUUAGAGAUGGCUCAGUGGGUAAAGACUCUUGUUACCAAGACUGGGGACCUGACUUUGACCCAGGGUGUGUGUAGUGGAACGGGAGAGCUGACUCCUGAAAGUUAUGCUAUGACUUUUACCCUCAUGCUGGGGCAUGCACCCCUCAGGGGCACCCCUGCAUCCACCUCUGAGAGAGAGAGAGAGAGAGAGAGAGAGAGAGAGAGAGAGAGAGAGGUCCAGAAAGAGACAGAAUUAGAAAGAGGGUGGGGACAAAGAGAGACAGAGACAGAGAG